GAUGAACGCUGGCGGCGUGCCUAAUACAUGCAAGUCGAGCGAACGGACGAGAAGCUUGCUCCUCUGAUGUUAGCGGCGGACGGGUGAGUAACACGUGGAUAACCUACCUAUAAGACUGGGAUAACUUCGGGAAACCGGAGCUAAUACCGGAUAAUAUAUUGAACCGCAUGGUUCAAUAGUGAAAGACGGUCUUGCUGUCACUUAUAGAUGGAUCCGCGCUGCAUUAGCUAGUUGGUAAGGUAACGGCUUACCAAGGCAACGAUGCAUAGCCGACCUGAGAGGGUGAUCGGCCACACUGGAACUGAGACACGGUCCAGACUCCUACGGGAGGCAGCAGUAGGGAAUCUUCCGCAAUGGGCGAAAGCUUGACGGAGCAACGCCGCGUGAGUGAUGAAGGUCUUCGGAUCGUAAAACUCUGUUAUUAGGGAAGAACAAAUGUGUAAGUAACUGUGCACAUCUUGACGGUACCUAAUCAGAAAGCCACGGCUAACUACGUG
rnacentral:rRNA from 1 species